GGUUAAGCGACUAAGCGUACACGGUGGAUGCCCUGGCAGUCAGAGGCGAUGAAGGACGUGCUAAUCUGCGAUAAGCGUCGGUAAGGUGAUAUGAACCGUUAUAACCGGCGAUUUCCGAAUGGGGAAACCCAGUGUGUUUCGACACACUAUCAUUAACUGAAUCCAUAGGUUAAUGAGGCGAACCGGGGGAACUGAAACAUCUAAGUACCCCGAGGAAAAGAAAUCAACCGAGAUUCCCCCAGUAGCGGCGAGCGAACGGGGAGCAGCCCAGAGCCUGAAUCAGUGUGUGUGUUAGUGGAAGCGUCUGGAAAGGCGCGCGAUACAGGGUGACAGCCCCGUACACAAAAAUGCACAUGCUGUGAGCUCGAUGAGUAGGGCGGGACACGUGGUAUCCUGUCUGAAUAUGGGGGGACCAUCCUCCAAGGCUAAAUACUCCUGACUGACCGAUAGUGAACCAGUACCGUGAGGGAAAGGCGAAAAGAACCCCGGCGAGGGG
rnacentral:rRNA from 2 species